CACGCGAGUAGCGCUCGAGUAAAUUGUGUUUGACAUGUGAAAUUCAACCUUCACAAUAACAACUGCUCAGAUCAAACAGAUAAUACCAAAAUCUAAGAACUGCUGGGAGUAAUUGUGCGCCUCCUCUGAAAGCCAGGUCACAAGCUACUCCUCCUGGCAGCGUCUCAAAGUCUUUGGGAGCUUCGAGCCUGACGGAGUCUGACAGCUGAUCCCCCCGAUGCAAAUUCACAAAAUGACCGGGGGAGAGGUGAGGCGUUCAGGAGUGUGUUGCGUCACUGAAGAAAAGAAGAAACAAGGGAGCGUGGGAGCUCACAGCAGGUGAUCUGAGAGAGAUCAAAUCAACCUCUGCAGAUUCAUCAAGUCUUUCUCUACCUGCAGCUCCACUCACACAAAUGAAACACAGAAGCUUGUUUUAUUCGCUUUCUGUCGCCAUCAAAGCUGACAAUAACAUCCAAUAAUAAUGCAGCCGCAGCUCGAAGGUGACCUGCGGACGUGAGACGCCGUUCAGCCUUUUCAUUGCUGAAUGAAUGAAACGGGAAACACCCAACCGGCCGUUCUCCCGUACAUGACAACCAGCUGGAACAACAGUGGGAGUGACGUUCCCACACAAUUAUCAGGCUUCGUUCGCAGCUUUCUCACCAGAUUAAAACGCAUUCAUCCACAAGCAGGAGUCUGGAGUUACAGUCAGUGCUGAGUAUUCUGUGUUUAGAUGUACACAAAGUUAGGAGCGGUUGGAGUUAGACAUUCUUUCACCACUAAGCCACUGGGAGUCUGAGUCACAGUUUUUAUGAGUCAAAGUGAUCAACAGUGUGCAGGAUCAGGUUGGAGCUGACAAGCUGUAUGUUUCUGCAAGGCUGUUGCAUGCAGGGCUGCAACUAACAUCUUUUGAAGUGUUUUCAGUCACAAAGAAAAGCAGCAAAAGAAGCUGAAACCAGAGAAUAUUUGACAUUUGACAAUUAAUUAAAAUUUAAUAAAACACUUUCACAUUGUUUAUUAUCCAGAAAUAAAACAGGAUUCUAUCUAUUCUAUAUUUCUGUCUGAGAAAUAAAGGAAUAUCUAUAAUCGUAAACAUUGGGAGAAUUGUGAAUUGUAUUGACGCAUGAGUGUUAUCAUUAUUUACCUACAUAUAAAGGCUGAUUUGUAGUCGUAGAUCGGUUCUACUACGAGCCUACGCAAGUUACCUACGCCGUUACGAGCAUUUAUACCCGUGCAUGGGUGCGUUUGUGUUGCUCUGACAUAUUUUACAUAUAAUAUAAUCUAUUAUUUUCCUCUGUAAUUUGUAAUUUUCCUGUAAAUUCCUGUAAUUUUAUAAACAAUUCUCUGUCUGUAUUGUGUAUUUUUUAUCAUUUUUAACAAUCAUACAGACUUCUUUUUUGACAAAUUCAGUGUUUCCUUGUCCCUAACGCUCGGCCAUUGUUCUAUUAGACAAUUGACUUCACAGAAAUGACCUAAAUGCUGAGAUAUAGACCUACUGUGUAUAUUUUUAAGUUUUCUUACGCCCCUUUAAAAUCAAGAAGGCCUUGCGACACCCUAUGAAGCUUUGGCGACCCCUAGUGGGGGUCCCGACCCUCAGGUUGCAAACUAGUGGGUAGAAGUAUAAAUCAGGCUUUUGUGUCUUAAAGGGAAGAACGAAUACCAACUUUCUGCAUCUUUCCCUCAGAUUUCAACGGGACACUGCACUAGUUAGGGCUGUUUUAAGACGUGUUAUUGUUUACCUGUUUUUAGGGUCAAUCGGUCUCUGUUCCUGUUAGGACUAAAGCUUUUCCUGUUUGGUAUCCUUCAGUUUCUGUGGAGAGGAGUUUUCCUGUUUUGUUGUGAGUGGCGUCUUGUAUCUGUGCAGAGACGAUUAAUCAGUGUAGAACUGCUGUAGAGGGAAGCUUUUAGUUAACACAGCUUUAAACUGUAUCUCUGUAUAUGUGACGGGUGUGUCAGAGUCCAGCAGAAUCUGCACUUAUCUAAAUGAACUGCAUAACAUAAUAAGCGUUAAAUAAAGCAGGAAGUGAGUCUUGGUGCAGACGUUUUCACUUUGUAGCCCUUCAUCAGUGCUCUUUAAGUGGUCCGUCUACAUGGAAAAAAAAAUCUCUACGUUUACAAGUUUCUUCACGUUUAUUUUACAGAUUUUUUUCUUUCUGCAUUUUUUAAAUACUUAUAAAUAUUAAUAAAAUGCGUGAAAAUGUCCUUUUUUCACAUAUAAAGUUCAAAUACAUUUGCUAAUAUAUAAUCUAUUUAUUUUACAGUAAUUUCUGCCGACCCAGCUGCUGGUAAUAACCGUUUUUUUCACAGUGUACCACAGUGUCCUGUCUUUCUGUCCCUACACUGUCUUCAUUAUUCAGGAGGUUUCCAACUGUGCAACCCAAGUCCUGCUGGCAGCGAGUACCUGGCCUCGUCUCUCAGUGCCUCCCUGCAGGACCUCCUGAGUCUGUGUGACGCACGCAGCCAGGUCCCUGUUUAUCAAAACCCCCAGAGCUGGAUUCAGAGCGCCCAAUAACAUCGAAAGUGUCAGAGUUCAUUCCUGAGCCUGUAAAUAGCAGUUUGACUAAACAAUCUUAACUCAAGGUCCACUUACUUGCCUUACCGAGAGCUUUCAACCACAUUCUUGAGUACAGACGGUAGUAAUGAUUACGUGACCGGACCUUCAGUUCCAUGACGAGGACGAAGCAAACAACUUUGUUCACAGAAGAAGACGGCGUGGUGCGUCUAAAGAAUCUAGUGAAGAAUUUUCCUGCAGCUUGGCUUUGCGAGGCGAUACCCUCCCCUGUGGAUCUACUGGAGGAGAAACAGUGUCGUCCUGACAGCGACCCAGAGCCGAUGCACUGCUGCCUGCCUCCUCCCUUCCCCUCCAACCCGGUCUUGUGACUGUAGGGACGACAGCUGACACCACUCCUACAAAAUAAGAGCCCUGGGCUGCCGGUCAGUGUGAUGCUUCCCACUCGCCUGCUCAGGUGACAUUCACAGCUCUGUCAGCUGUCAGUGACUGCUGGUGCAUUCAAAGGCUGCUGAACUGUUUUUUUCUUUGGUUUUUAACCCGCGUGCAGACACACGAUCUGAGGCAAACUGAGCUUAAAUGCACUAAAGAUGAUGCAAUGAACACGCUGUGGAAAAACGCGAUGUCAACUGCUACCACAGAAAUGAGUAGGCCAGUAAUCUCACCAUCAGGUCAUGUGACUGUGUGAGUACUCAUUUGUCAAGUCCAAGGACUCUGAGCUACUUUUAAUGCAAAAUGCAAAACUUCCUGCUUUUAACCUGUGAACUACCUGAAAUGUUUAAUUGCGAAAAGGUCACAUAAGGACAUGAUACAAAACCGCAAAGAGGCCUGCUGAAGCUCCUCCCUUCGUGCCAGAUUAUCUACGUGACAAAUUCAUGUUUCCUCAAAGAAAGGUAGCCCCGCCCUA